rnacentral:rRNA from 1 species
CGAAGGUGGCAAGCGUUACUCGGAAUUACUAGGCGUAAAGGGCAGGUAGGUGGUUUGGUUAGUCUGUUGUGAAAGCUCCCGGCUUAACUGGGAGAGGUCAACGGAUACUGCCAAACUUGAGUAUAGGAGAGGUUACUGGAAUUCCGCGUGUAGCAGUGAAAUGCGUAGAUAUGCGGAGGAACACCGAUGGCGAAGGCAAUCCCCUGGACCUGUACUGACGCUCAUGCACGAAAGCGUGGGGAGCAAACAGGAUUAGAUACCCUGGUAGUCCACGCCCUAAACGAUGUCAACUGGUUGUUGGGUCUUUACUGACUCAGUAACGAAGCUAACGCGUGAAGUUGACCGCCUGGGGAGUACGGCCGCAAGGUUG